UUUACUUCUUCUUCAUCUUCUCCUUAUUUUUCUUCAAUUCCUACUUGCCAAACAACUCAAUUUCACUCCAUUAAACUUGAUUUAAAUAAUUAAUCUUAGAGAAUUAAGCUUGAGAAGUGAUUUGUGAUGAUUAUUUUCAAAAAAUUUGAAGAUUCGCUAUUUAGGCCAAAGGUUGGGGAAACCUCUACCAUGGAACAAAGGCAAAGUUAGAGCUUAGAAAGCUUUAAUUUAAGCUUGCUAAAGCUUAUUUUUAAGUUAAGACAGUGUCUUCGACACCGAAUGUGGCAUCCGCAGUCGGGUCUCACAGGACUGAGCGCAGGGUGUUACAAUAAUGAACCAAUCCUUUGGUAAGUAUAUUUCUAGAAAAGCUCCAAUUUUGGUAUGAUUUUGGAGAGAGAAAAGAUAUAGAAUUGAGAUUAGUUAAAAAAAAAAAAAGAUGCAGAUGAACAAUUGGGAUCUUCCAGGAGUUCAACAACCCUAAACCCAUUUAAUAAAAGUACAAGCUUUCUCU